AAUAAAACUUUCUGCACUAACCCAUCGAACUGCAGGUUUCUCUGGACCGCUGUGGACACACUAUUCUGAAAAUUGUGCUUGACUGGAUUUUCUGUUAGAGGGAUUUUGUUGCUACUGUCCUUAUCAAGAUGAUUACAACACCUUUAAAACAUCCAAGAAUUCAUUUGUCUUCAGAGACCUCUUCUCAAAAAAGAAAUAUGUCCAUGGAUGCAAUCUUUUUUGACAACAUUCCUUCAGGCACACUUACUCCUAUAAAAGAUUUGGUCAAAUAUCAGAAUUCCUCUUUAAAAUCUAAUGACCACAAAAAGAAUCAGUCUUUAGAAAUGACAACUCCUAAGAAUAAAAACAUAUUUCAAUCUACCAUGCUAACAGAGGUUACUACAUCUAACAGUUGUCUUGAUAUCAGUGCUAUCAAGUCCAACAUGGAUGCAUUAAAAAGUAAAGCAAACUAUGAAUCACCAGGAAAAAUAUUUCAAAGAAUGAAAGAAAAAGUACUGCGUGAUAAGCAAGAACAAGCAUCAAGAAACAAUAGUUUGUUGGAACCACCGAAAAGUGAAAAUCAUAAAAUCUUUACUCCUAACAAAAAUGAGAAAAGACUAUUGCAGCAUACCUGCUUCUAUGAAGAAAAGGAAAACAACUCAUUCUUAUCAGAUAACAAUUCACUAAGAGCCUCAGUUCAAGAAGUUCCUCUAGAAUCAUCAAAUAUUCUUCCCAUUAAACAAAAGAUUCAAGACCAGAAGGAAAAGAAAGCACAACUGCACAAUUUAACUUAUGAACUUCCAGUUCUAAACCAAGAAAAUGUUUCAGUUGCAGAAGUAUCAAAUAAGGCAUUAAUUAGAGCUCAACUAACUAAACAAAUUCUGCACUCAAAAGAGAAUACAACUAGAACCACCAAUUCCAAAAAGGACACGUUUGUUUUAGAAGGCAAUGAUUCUGCUUAUGAAAAAUUCCAAGAUACUAAUGUUGAGAUUCUUAAUACUAAUUGUGUUCCUAUUAAAAAUGGUAAUCAAUUAAUGGUUUCUGAUAGUGAAGUGAUAAAAGAUGGGACUUCACAAGAAGAAAUUAAGGAACAAAAUGAAAAGUCAGUGUCUAUAAUGACUUGCCUUCCAGAUUCCAUGAAUGAUACAUGUAAAAUUAUACUUGCAAGUCCAAGAUUACAUUUAACACUGCCUCGGAAUUCAAAAAGAAAUAUUUCAAAGCUUUCUCCUCAAAGUGUAAUUCCAACUAUUACAAAUGAAGUUAAAAAAAAAAGUCAGGUAGGAAAUUUUUUAAGGCAGAUAUUUAUUUCUGUUUGUACCACUUGUUCUUAGCUGUGUUUUUUUGUUUGUUUUUGUGAUUCUAGGGAUGGAACCCAGGGCCUUGCGCAUGCUAAGCAAGCACACUA
rnacentral:lncRNA from 1 species